ACGUAUACCAGAGAACUACGCA
rnacentral:siRNA from 1 species